UACGUAGGUCACAAGCGCUAUCCGGAUUUAUUGGGCGUAAAGCGCGUCUAGGUGGUUAUGUAAGUCUGAUGUGAAAAUGCAGGGCUCGACUCUGUAUUGCGUUGGAAACUGUGUAACUAGAGUACUGGAGAGGUAAGCGGAACUACAAGUGUAGAGGUGAAAUUCGUAGAUAUUUGUAGGAAUGCCGAUGGGGAAGCCAGCUUAUCUGGACAGAUACUGACGCUGAAGCGCGAAAGCGUGGGUAGCAAACAGGAUUAGAU
rnacentral:rRNA from 1 species